GACGAACGCUGGCGGCGUGCUUUACACAUGCAAGUCGAACGGAGUGGCGAACGGGUGAGUAUUACGUGAGUAACCUGCCCUCAACUGUGGGAUAAGCCUGGGAAACUGGGUCUAAUACUGCAUAGCUGGGGAUGGGCUCGCGGCCUAUCAGCUUGUUGGUGGAGUGAUGGCCUACCAAGGCGGUGACGGGUAGCCGGCCUGAGAGGGUGGACGGGCACCGUGGGACUGGGAGACGGCCCAGACGUCUACGGGAGGCAGCAGUGGGGGAUAUUGAACAAUGGGCACAAGCCUGAUGCGGAGACGCCGCGUGGGGGAUCAAAGCUUGCGGGUUGUAAACCUCUUGCGGUACAGAACGGGUAUGUGCAGAAGAAGCGCCGACUAACUACGUGCCAGCCGCCGCGGUAAUUC
rnacentral:rRNA from 1 species